AUCUUCCUUCCCCUUCCCCACCAUCUCUUUUUUCACUCCUUUGCCUUCUCUUCAUGCUUCCCUGGCUUAAGACCCUUGUACCAACAUUGUUUAUUCCUGCAUAUGGCCAAAGAGUUGCUGACCUCUGCCUUCCCUCAUGAAAUUUUCAAACACACCUGCUCCUGUGCCUUGCAAAUGAGUCCUAUCUGAACCUCCAAUCACACCAGGGUGCCAAGCAUCCCUAGCUGCAGAAUAUCUGGUCUCCAGGCAACCAGAGAGGAGCAUUCCAUCUUCAGAAAAGGUACUAAGUGCUCUCUUGCCCUGAAAGCCCUCUAAAGUUGAAGGCAAGGGUUUGGAAGAGAUUCAAAUCAAACUCUCUAUAAGCUGGGCUCCCUCUGGUGAUAAAUGACUUUAAAAAAGGAAACAAGAGGGUAGCUAAGGAGGAUAUCAACUCUCAUUCGCCAACACAUGAUAAUAUAGAGAUGUCAGAAAUAAAUAAUUGGUCUAAAGCUGCACUGGCUAAUUUGAUAACCAUUAGCCACAGGUGGCUAUUCAAAUUUAAACUGAUACAAAUUUAAUUAAAGUUUCAUUCCCCAGGCACAAUAGCCACAUUUCAAGUUCUCAGUAGCCACAUGUAGCUGCACUGGAAAGGACUGCAGAUGCAGAAAUAGGGAGAAAUAGAGAGAGAGGGAAAAAGGAAGAGAAGAAAUGAGACAUUUGGUAUUACUCACAUCCUUUUGGGUAAUCAGGAGAUAAAGACAGAGAAGGAAAGACAGAGAAAGAAAAGAAAACAUAAAUAAUUGAAAGAGAAUAAAACUGCAGGUCUGAGAUCAAGACUUUUUCCUCCCAGCUUUAUACAUUCUAAGAGACAUGUGAAUAAUGUGAGAGGAGCACACUUUCCCAAGCACUUGAUUUUAAGAGCCUGUCUUGGGUGUAAGUAAACUGAGUAUGGAGGCUCACCUCUAUGGGAGGCUAGAGUUCUUGCAGCCAAUUAGUUGCUUUGACCUGAAUCGACUCAUUUUCAUUUAGAUGUUUUCUUGCAACCUACCAACGAGCAUCUUGUAUCACCCCCCCACCUGCCCUUUCCUCUAAAUCUGAGAAUGACUAUGGCAAUGGGGAUAGAACAGCACAUGUAUUAGAAGUGAAGAGCAUUACUGAGAAUUUAGAGACUAUGUCUAGUUUGGAGGAACCCAAGGGAACUUCAAGAAAAGUAAUCAGAGUGAGUAGGAAAGAAUACAUAAUGCAAAUUAUUCCCUCCAGGAACUUUACUUCAAAAAGAACAAGUGCAUUUCCCUGAAGGACACCAGUACUGUCAAAUGUAACUGUUCACCAUGCUUCUCCAAGGCACCAAAUGGGCUUUUAAGUCACAUUCCUGCAGGUUUAACCAUGGAUUCAAAAUAGAAACUGUAAAUUUGCUCUCUAAGUUUGUAUUGACAUGCAGAUAGUAUUGGGGUUAUUGUGUGGCCUCACUAGGAUAUCUGCUUAUAAUUUAAUGAGAGAUUUGGUAAAAAUGGAAUGGUUGACAUCACAGAGGUUUCAGCAUUUUUGACCCUCUAUUUUAUGUGGUGAACUCCAAGACCAACUGAGAUCAAAACUUCUGGCAGCCUCUGAAAAUAUCUGCUGAAGAUAUUUGUGGAAUAUAAGCUUAUCCUACAAAUUAACAACAAUAAUAAAGAUAUAAUAUUCAUUUAUAUUCCCUUAGAAUUAAUGAGCCAUUUCAUUGUCUUAGCUAUUUCCUUGAAGGGGAGAGAACAGGUCAAAGCACAACCACUUCCAUAAAACAGAAAACCGCUCCUAUUUUAUGACACACUGAUGGAAAAAGAACAGGCCUAAAAGUUCUUCCACCCUUCACCUCUGUACCUUCAGUUCCCAAAUACCAUUUCUGCGAUAGAUAGAUGAUAGAUGGAUAGAUAGACAGAUAGAUAGAUAGAUAGAUAGAUAGAUAGAUAGAUAGAUAAAUAGGUGGGAAGACAGACUGACAGACAGUUGGGGAAUGUAGUUAGUCUGGCAUUUAUCCUUCAUUUAUCCGUCUAUGUGAACAGCACCAAGAAUACACAGAUAGCUAACACAUAAUCCAUGCACUGAGGUGACUCAAAGUUAAAUGGGAGACAUACAUUUAUAACGCAUUACGAUGACUGUGGUAGCGUCAGAAACUAAUUGCUUUAGGAGUACAGAGGAAGAAGUAAUUAAUUCUCCCUGAGGGUUUAGAGGAAGAUUCAUGAACAAACCUGUGCUGCUCUGCAAUGUCACUACACAUCCAGAAGCCAAUGGGAGUGAAGUCAAGGGCAAAGUGGGUAAGGACCAGACACUGUACGCCCAUAGAUGACCCCUCUCCUAUUAUAGUGCACCCCAACAAGGUUAUCUAUCCACACAUAUUGUUUCCAACUAAACCAACACUUUUCCUGGUUCUUGACAUCAACACUUAAGGAGUUAAAGCUCCUCUCCAGAACUAUUGCUUUGAAAGCAGCCUUUAUACCUCUACUGAGUAGAGAGCAGUCAGUCAUUAGAGCCACAAAGAGCCAUGCACUCAGGAACACAUAUACACACCCUACUUAAAUGUAUAUAUGCAUGCAUGCAUGUAUGUAUGCAUAUAUAUAUAUGCAUAUUAAGUAAAUGAUAUACAAAUAUAUGAAGUAAAUAUAUACAGGUAUUAUUAAAUACCUGAGUAGGUAGCUCUUUGCUAGGGCUCAAGGAAUAAAAAUCAGCAUAAGACAUUUGCCUAUAAAAAGUUUGUAGUACAGUGAAGUAUAUGGCAUGCCCUACCAUAGUCAUUGCUAGCACAAAGGGGAAAGACAAGGGCAUUUUGUAAUACUAUCUUCAGCUCAAGCUGCUACCAAGAAAGCUGGGAAAUAACAUUAUGAGAUAAUCCAGUCUUCCCCACCUGUAAGUACCAACUAACAAAUAAAAAGUUUAUGUAAAUAAAAGGAACUACCACUAAAUAUUAAUAGAUCCAAUAUAUUCAGCCCAUGACCACCAGGAAGCUGCAUUCUCUCAGCAGUGUCUUAUUUAAGGUUGAUGCUGUCUUCCUAGCCACAUAAAUCACUCUAAGAGAGAAUAGAGUUUUUCCCUGUGGAGUCUGUGAUUACAGACAGGUAUCCCAGUUUGGGAUCAGGAAAGCCCUCGUUCUAAACUAAACAUGGCUACAGAAGUAGUUGAUUGCCUUUGGCUGUUUUUGUUUCCUCAUCUAAAAGAGAAGCCCUGGCCUAAAUGAUCAGCACAAUGAUUGCCAAUUCUGAUGUUACUCUCCAGGCAGAGGCAACCAUUCCUGAGAGUGGCACCCAAAUGGCACCGUCUUUGCUUCUGUGUUCCUCUUUUUUCUCAGCCAAAGUAUCCUCAUUUUAUUGCACAACCAAAGAAUUAAAAGUAUAUGUUCCUUUGGGAAUGCAGAAAGUUAUCUUGGACUAUCUUGGCCAAUUCAAAAAUCUCUUCAGGUGCUUAUUUUCAAAUAUAUUUUGCCUGCCAGAAGGACAUGAAUUUAUUUUUUUGGGGGGGGGGUCCAGAAGGUAACUUAUUACGAGCUGAAUAGUGAGCCUCCAAAAUUCAUAUAUUGAAGUCCCCGACUCCAAUACUUCAGAAUGUAAUCGUAUUUGGAGAUAAGGUCUUUAAAGGGGUAAUUAAGUUCAAAUGAGACUGCUAGUGUGGGGCACAAAUCAGUAUGACUAGGGUCCCCAUAAGCGGAGGGAGAGACACCAUGAAAUGCACAGAGGAAAGACCAUGUAAGGACUUGUAAGAAGAUGCCCAACUACAAGUCAAAGAAAGAGACCUCAAGAAAAAUCAAAUCUGCCAACACCUUGAUCUUGGACUUUUAGCAUCCAGAACCAUACAAAAGUUAAUUUCGGUAGUUUAAGCCACCCAGUCUGUGGUACUUUGUUACAGCAGCCCUAGCAAACUAAGAUAGUAGGCAUUCAAAGAAUAAGAAAGAAUUAAUAUCUUCUGUGCCACAUAUUCUUUAAAUAGCAUGACUCUGUGUAUCUACAAGUUUCACUAAUUUAUCAAGAAGCACAGGAAGUAGGAAUCCUCAAAUAAGUGAUUCAGAAUAUAGCAUUGUUCACUGACCUAUCAUUUGUAUUUGAAACUAUUUUCCUGACUUUAUAGAAACAGACACCGUAUCAUGAAUUUUAACAAACUCUUUUGGGGGACCAAAAUAUCUGAAUCAGCUGGCCUACACAGACAUCUCCCAAAUGUAUGAAUCCCCCCUGAUGUAAGAACCAGAGACUCUGUAAGCCACUCUGAACUAAAAAAAUAUAUCAGAAAAUAAUUGUGGAGUUCCCGUCAUGGUGCAGCGGAAACAAGUCCGACUAGGAACUAUGAGGUUGCAGGUUCAAUCCCUGGCCAUGGGUGCAGCCCUAAAAAAAGAAAAGAUAAAAAAAGAAAGAAAAUUAUAAUUAAAAAAAAAGAAAAUCUGAUUCAGUGUGCUUUGAAAUCCCUCAAGAAAAACUGUCCUCCACAGUACAACUUUUUCUUCCUCCUGGCAAACUUUGUCUUAGCAGGUUUUAUUCAGAACAUCUGAGCUAGAGCAGAGUUGCGACUUGAUUGAUACUCACUUCCAAGUGGAAACCACUGCAAAGUUUCUUCUGCAUUGAUUAGUGUCUCCCAGCUGCCUAAAAACCCACAAUGAAUUCACAACGCAUCAGGGAUCGCAUCAGGGAGUUAUUUAUGGGUGAGGAACAUGCUUAUUGCUACCUCUAUUGUGCUAUCCAUAUGUCAAAGGAUCAGAGAUGUAUUAACGGGCUCUUCUCAGGCAUUAUUCCCACCCAGAGCGAAUGACUGUUUCUGAUUAGUCUUAAAUUAACUUAUCUGCAAAUUUAUUUUUUACAUGGGAUGCAUUUGUUUGCUUUCUUAUGAAUAAGAAUGUAUACUUCUCCGUCACCAUGUCUUGCCAUAAGUCUGAACAAAACUGCCUGUGGGCCUGAGCUACAGCUCAGUCACCAGCAUUAACGGGGUCACCCAAUACGCUCAUCACUGAAUGUGAACUCAGUCAGUCUCUUAUCUGACUCCACCAGUAAAAUAAAUAAAUGAGCAAACUGCUAAAAAUAAAUGGAACCAUAUCUUAUUCAAAAUGUUAUCUGUAUCUGCUGAGGAAGAAUCCAAGGGAAUUGGCUCUGUUAUGGAGUUGUUCUGAGGUGUUAAAAAUUGUAGGGCAUUAUGCCUGAGGAGACAAUGCAGUACAGAACCAAGAUUCCCCUGUAUCUGAUUAGAAUUUGCACAAUAUUAAGUAAAUAAUGAACUCUUGAUUCGUAGCUAGACAAGGCAACAGGCCUGGGUUUUAUCAUGUGCAUAGUGAUUUGUAAUGAAUGGGAAUGGACAGGUGAAAUCAAAAUGCAGGGGAAAACAUGAAGCUGAAUGACACUGAAUAUCUGUUCUCUGAAAGAAGUUAUUCUGUUUCCCUUAAACCAAGACCUGCAGCUUAGUCUAUGAGUGGUACUGAGUAAUCAAGGUAUAAAUGCUUUCAAUGCCAAAAGCUUCUAAAAUAAUAAGAGGAUGGAGAAAAGAAAAUAGAGAAAUAGAGGGGCCAAUCCUAUUUUUAAAUGUUUUUAAAUGCCUUACCUAAUGGGGCCUGACUCCCACGCCAGAAUUAAAAAAAAAAAAGAAAAAGAAAAAAAG
rnacentral:lncRNA from 1 species